rnacentral:rRNA from 1 species
UAGCAAUACGAUGGAAAGUCUAGUGGCGAACGGGUGCUUAACACGUGGGCAACCUGCCGAGAAGUGGGGGAUAGCUCGCCGAAAGGCGAAUUAAUACCGCAUGUGAUUAGAGUGGACAUCCAUUCGAAAUUAAAGUCGGGGCAACCUGACGCUUCUUGUGGGGCCCGCGGCCUAUCAGCUAGUUGGUGAGGUAACGGCUCACCAAGGCUUUGACGGGUAGCUGGUCUGAGAGGACGACCAGUCACACUGGGACUGAGACACGGCCCAGACACCUACGGGUGGCAGCAGUCGAGAAUUUUUGACAAUGGGGGAAACCCUGAUCGAGCGACGCCGCGUGGAGGAUGAAGGUCUUCGGAUUGUAAACUCCUGUCAUUGGGGAACAAUGCGUGACGCUUAACUGCCGUUGCGUUGAUAGUACCCGAAGAGGAAGAGACGGCUAACUCUGUGCCAGCAGCCGCGGUAAUACAGAGGUCUCAAGCGUUGUUCGGAUUCAUUGGGCGUAAAGGGUGCGUAGGCGGCGCGGUAAGUCGGGUGUGAAAUCUCGGAGCUUAACUCCGAAACUGCAUUCGAUACUGCCGUGCUUGAGGACUGGAGAGGAGACUGGAAUUCUCGGUGUAGCA